GACGAACGCUGGCGGCGUGCUUAACACAUGCAAGUCGAACGGUGAAGCGCCUUCCUUUUUGGUGGGUGUGGAUGAGUGGCGAACGGGUGAGUAACACGUGAGUAACCUGCCCCCUUCUUCUGGAUAACCGCAUGAAAGUGUGGCUAAUACGGGAUAUUCUGGGUCUGUCGCAUGAUGGGUCUGGGAAAGAUAUUGUUUCGGUGGGGGAUGGGCUCGCGGCCUAUCAGCUUGUUGGUGGGGUGAUGGCCUACCAAGGCGGUGACGGGUAGCCGGCCUGAGAGGGUGGACGGUCACACUGGGACUGAGACACGGCCCAGACUCCUACGGGAGGCAGCAGUGGGGAAUAUUGCACAUGGGCGCAAGCCUGAUGCAGCGACGCCGCGUGAGGGAUGGAGGCCUUCGGGUUGUGAACCUCUUUCGCCAGUGAAGCAGGCCUGCCUCGUUUGUGGGUGGGUUGACGGUAGCUGGAUAAGAAGCGCCGGCUAACUACGUG
rnacentral:rRNA from 1 species